rnacentral:tRNA from 1 species
UCCCUGGUGGUCCAGUGGCUAGGACUCCAUAUUUUCACUGCUAACGGCCUGGGUUCAAUCCCUGGUCAGGGAA